CCUAGAGCUUGUGGACUUCGGUCUGCUACCUCUUACCCAUGUCUUUUGAGUACCUUCGUUUCCUCGGCGGGUCCGCCCGCCGGUUGGACAACAUUCAAACCCUUUGCAGUUGCAAUCAGCGUCUGAAAAAACUUAAUAGUUA
rnacentral:misc_RNA from 1 species